GUUCCUACGGGGGGCAGCAGUGGGGAAUAUUGCACAAUGGGGGAAACCCUGAUGCAGCGACGCCGCGUGAGUGAAGAAGUAUUUCGGUAUGUAAAGCUCUAUCAGCAGGAACGAGACAAGACGGUACCUGACUAAGAAGCCCCGGCUAACUACGUGCCAGCAGCCGCGGUAAUACGUAGGGAGCGAGCGUUGUCCGGAUUUGCUGGGUGUAAAGGGGGCGCAGGCGGCUCUGCAAGUCAGGCGUGAAAGCUAGGGGCUCAACCCCUAAACUGCGCUUGAAACUGUGGAGCUUGAGUGAAGUAGAG
rnacentral:rRNA from 1 species